rnacentral:rRNA from 1 species
GGAUUGGAAAUGGGCGCAGCCUGAUCCAGCAAUGCCGCGUGAGUGAUGAAGGCCUUCGGGUUGUAAAGCUCUUUGGGCGGGGACGAUGAUGACGGUACCCGCAGAACAAGCCCCGGCUAACUUCGUGCCAGCAGCCGCGGUAAUACGAAGGGGGCGAGCGUUGUUCGGAAUUACUGGGCGUAAAGGGCGCGUAGGCGGCGCGGCAAGUCAGGCGUGAAAGCCCUGGGCUCAACCUGGGAAUGGCGCUUGGGACUGCGGUGCUGGAGUUCGGGAGAGGAGAGUGGAAUUCCCAGUGUAGAGGUGAAAUUCGUAGAUAUUGGGAAGAACACCGGUGGCGAAGGCGGCUCUCUGGACCGAUACUGACGCUGAGGCGCGAAAGCGUGGGGAGCAAACAGGAUUAGAUACCCUGGUAGUCCACGCGGUAAACGAUGUGUGCUAGACGUUGGGGAGCCUAGCUCUUCGGUGUCGCCGCUAACGCUUUAAGCACACCGCCUGGGGAGUACGGCCGCAAGGUUAAAACUCAAAAAAAUUGACGGA